rnacentral:rRNA from 1 species
ACGCUCGACACCUACGGGAGGAGCAGUAGGGAAUCUUCCACAAUGGGCGCAAGCCUGAUGGAGCAACACCGCGUGAGUGAAGAAGGGUUUCGGCUCGUAAAGCUCUGUUGUUGGAGAAGAACGUGCGUGAGAGUAACUGUUCACGCAGUGACGGUAUCCAACCAGAAAGUCACGGCUAACUACGUGCUAGCAGCCGCGGUAAUCUGAGCGGGCUGGCAAGGC